GAAUUAACACGUUUUUGAUUUAUUUAGUGUGAAAUGCUCGCACACCUUGGAUGACUUAGGUCAUACUGAUUUCUCUGCCUCCACCACGUGUGUCAGAAUAACGUUACGGGUCUCUCUGAUGGUCUUUCCUCUACCGCUGCUCUGCUCUUUUGUGUUUUC